rnacentral:rRNA from 1 species
AGAGUUUGAUCAUGGUUCAGAAUCAACGCUGGCGGCGUGCCUCAGACAUGCAAGUCGAACGAUUAAAGCCCUCUUCGGAGGGUGUAUAAAGUGGCGCACGGGUGAGUAACACGUAAGUAAUCUACCCUCGGGUGGGGAAUAACAACCGGAAACGGGUGCUAAUACCGCAUAAUGCAGCGGCUCCUUAUGGAGACAGUUGUUAAAGGAUUUAUUCGCCUGAGGAGGAGCUUGCGGCAAAUUAGCUAGUUGGUAAGGUAAUGGCUUACCAAGGCUACGAUCUGUAGCCGGUCUAAGAGGACGG